CUCUCCCCGUCUUUCCUAUUCCCUAUAGAUAAACACGACAGCAAUCUCUAUCACUUUCAACGACUUGUGCUACAUUGACGCCGGAAGAAGUCGCACGUACCCAGAAGACGAUAGUGGUGAACCAAGUAGACAUUUCAAAUGGAACUAGUUCUAGUGGUAGUUCUUUUUACGUGCAAGAUUUCAUUUGUCCAUCCAUCGUGUCCCGAAAAUGAAGAACCAAGUUUCUGCCAUAGUAACGAUUUUAUUCCGCAACCCUAUUGCCAUGGCGUCGAGCAACAAGAAAAGUGGAAUUGCAAGAAGAGAAGUGAUGCAAGGUGCGGUUGUAGUGGCUCUCUCCACAGGAGAAUGGAUGGAGAAUGCGUACCGAAGGACC